rnacentral:rRNA from 1 species
GAUGAACGCUGGCGGCGUGCCUAAUACAUGCAAGUCGAGCGAACGGACGAGAAGCUUGCUUCUCUGAUGUUAGCGGCGGACGGGUGAGUAACACGUGGAUAACCUACCUAUAAGACUGGGAUAACUUCGGGAAACCGUAGCUAAUACCGGAUAAUAUUUUGAACCGCAUGGUUCAAAAGUGAACGACGGUCUUGCUGUCACUUAUAGAUGGAUCCGCGCUGCAUUAGCUAGUUGGUAAGGUAACGGCUUACCAAGGCAACGAUGCAUAGCCGACCUGAGAGGGUGAUCGGCCACACUGGAACUGAGACACGGUCCAGACUCCUACGGGAGGCAGCAGUAGGGAAUCUUCCGCAAUGGGCGAAAGCCUGACGGAGCAACGCCGCGUGAGUGAUGAAGGUCUUCGGAUCGUAAAACUCUGUUAUUAGGGAAGAACAUAUGUGUAAGUAACUGUGCACAUCUUGACGGUACCUAAUCAGAAAGCCACGGCUAACUACGUG